GCCUGUGACUAAAGCACGCUGAAUGUGUCCAAUCUUAUCCGAUCUAAAAGGCUAAGCAGUAUUGAGCCCGAUUAGUACUUGGAUGGGAGGCUGCUUCGGAAUACUAUGUGUUGUCGUAU
rnacentral:rRNA from 1 species